CCGCGGACGGGUGAGUAACACGUGGGGUAACCUGCCUGUAAGACCGGUAUAACUCCGGGAAACCGGGGCUAAUACCGGAUGCUUGAUUGAACCGCAUGGUUCAAUUAUAAAAGGUGGCUUUUAGCUACCACUUACAGAUGGACCCGCGGCGCAUUAGCUAGUUGGUGAGGUAACGGCUCACCAAGGCGACGAUGCGUAGCCGACCUGAGAGGGUGAUCGGCCACACUGGGACUGAGACACGGCCCAGACUCCUACGGGAGGCAGCAGUAGGGAAUCUUCCGCAAUGGACGAAAGUCUGACGGAGCAACGCCGCGUGAGUGAUGAAGGUUUUCGGAUCGUAAAACUCUGUUGUUAGGGAAGAACAAGUACCGUUCGAAUAGGGCGGUACCUUGACGGUACCUAACCAGAAAGCCACGGCUAACUACGUGCCAGCAGCCGCGGUAAUACGUAGGUGGCAAGCGUUGUCCGGAAUUAUUGGGCGUAAAGCGCGCGCAGGCGGUUUCUUAAGUCUGAUGUGAAAGCCCCCGGCUCAACCGGGGAGGGUCAUUGGAAACUGGGGAACUUGAGUGCAGAAGAGGAGAGUGGAAUUCCACGUGUAGCGGUGAAAUGCGUAGAGAUGUGGAGGAACACCAGUGGCGAAGGCGACUCUCUGGUCUGUAACUGACGCUGAGGCGCGAAAGCGUGGGGAGCGAACAGGAUUAGAUACCCUGGUAGUCCACGCCGUAAACGAUGAGUGCUAAGUGUUAGAGGGUUUCCGCCCUUUAGUGCUGCAGCAAACGCAUUAAGCACUCCGCCUGGGGAGUACGGUCGCAAGACUGAAACUCAAAGGAAUUGACGGGGGCCCGCACAAGCGGUGGAGCAUGUGGUUUAAUUCGAAGCAACGCGAAGAACCUUACCAGGUCUUGACAUCCUCUGACAACCCUAGAGAUAGGGCUUCCCCUUCGGGGGCAGAGUGACAGGUGGUGCAUGGUUGUCGUCAGCUCGUGUCGUGAGAUGUUGGGUUAAGUCCCGCAACGAGCGCAACCCUUGAUCUUAGUUGCCAGCAUUCAGUUGGGCACUCUAAGGUGACUGCCGGUGACAAACCGGAGGAAGGUGGGGAUGACGUCAAAUCAUCAUGCCCCUUAUGACCUGGGCUACACACGUGCUACAAUGGGCAGAACAAAGGGCAGCGAAGCCGCGAGGCUAAGCCAAUCCCACAAAUCUGUUCUCAGUUCGGAUCGCAGUCUGCAACUCGACUGCGUGAAGCUGGAAUCGGCUAGUAA
rnacentral:rRNA from 1 species